ensembl:lncRNA
GCCAUGUCACCCUCUGGUGUAAUAUCCAGUGCCUUGUCAAUUUUCUUCAGGCCUUGGGAUAAUUUCUGAGGUUUGUUCAUCAUCUGGGCUGUAUGAUUGGCUGGCGUUACCCAAACAGGUGAACCUAUCAGUGUUUGUACUUGAUCAUGAUUGGUCAGCUGGGUAAGUUUCAUGAGCCAAUUAGUGCUGGUGAUGUGCAUAUAAAAGGGGGAAGUGUUUGGUUGCUUGGGAUGCAUCCAGAAUACAAUGGGUACUGCCCAGUGUCAUCCUUGGUACCGUCCCUUUGUGACAUGUGGUGCUCCUGAAUGAGUGCAAGCAGUUGGGUUAUUCUCGUGUCUGUUGUGUGUUGGCCAGUUUUUAGGUUGAUCCCGGUUUUAAAAAUGCCUUUUUGCUUGUUAAAUGGAGAGGCUUAUUACCUUGUUUGUUUUUAGAUAAGGGCCUGCAAGUAACUGUAAUCCUGUGUGGUGAGCGACCAUGUGUAUUGCAGCCUUGUACUGGUUUCUACUUGUACUGGUUUGAUUGCACAUCCAGGGAUUUCCGGUGACCUUAAUUGAAGCCUUACAAACAUCAAGUGACUGCUCUGCUCUGUUUUGUUAUAGUUUUGUCUGGAAUUCAUCUGGGUCCGUCUGUUAUAUUGUUUUUGUAUUGUUUGAUGCGUGGAUUUAGGUGUGAGGCGUUGGCCAUGGUACCUUGUACUGCGUGUCCACAUGGAGUGCUAUGUUUAAUACUUGAUUUUUCACAAGAGUGCGUGUCAUGGGUAUUGAGUGUGGGGUAGAAAUCUGAUGGUCUUUGCUGGCCACCUCCCUCUUUAUUUUUCUUAUUGUUUUGUAUGUUACUGGUAAAGACUUGUGAUUUAUCAAGACCUUGUGUGAAGUGUUGUAUUCGUUUUAUUAAUUGUAUGUUAAUAAAGUGAUUUGUUUAUAUCGGUCUCUUUAUGCUCACCCUGCCUUUGGCAACGAACCUGUGUCCCUUUGCUUAGGGCUGUUAUGUCCCAGUGUAUUCUGGAUGGCGUCGUCAACUAUAGGAUUUCUUUAUUAUUGGUAACUUUCACACACCUGACCACUUCUUGCCACCAUGUUCCCAUGAACAUUUGCGAGAUUUAUUAAUUGAUGGACUAGAGUGGUGUGGAUUAUUGUCAUUGUUUUUAUCAGCUGUUUGGACUCAUACUGACAGCACCCAUUCA